rnacentral:rRNA from 1 species
CAACGCCGCGUGGUAGGAUGGAAAUCCCCUUGGGAUGUAAACUCCUUUCGGAUCGGGACGAUUAUGACGGUACCGGAAGAAGAAGCCCCGGCUAACUUCGUGC